AUUUUAUUAGAUGAUGACUGUCACGUGUCAUGUUCUGAUUGAUCAAUGAAAACAACAAUACAUUUUAUUUUUAAUAGAAUUGACAUCCAAUCAAAACAUAAUACAUGACAAUCAUCAUAA
rfam:Glycine soja cultivar W05 scaffold2880_41, whole genome shotgun sequence.